rnacentral:lncRNA from 1 species
AAAUAUAGAUUAUAUGUCCUUCUUGACAAAAAAAAAAGUUUAUAUAGUCUUAUUUGUACAAGUGGGUGUUUGGUUUGACAAAAGAAUGACUGGCUCAAACAAGGAUUAGUGACACUUAACCUAAAUAUUCUUGACCUUACAUUGGUUGAUUGAGUUGAUGGUGAAGCUUAAUUCCCUUAUCGAGACACUUUAUCAUAUAUUUAUCCAUUCUAUGAAGUGCUAAGAGCAACUCCAAUGCUAGUUCUAGACGGUGUUCUUGAUAACUCAAAAGCAAGUUCUUGUUUUCUUUACCAUUGGAGAUGGAUGAUGUGGAAUUCAGGGUGGAGAACUGCUCUAUGUGAAGAACAUGUUCCAGCAGCAAAACUGUCAGAAAAAGCACAUGAAAAAAGGAGAGAAAGAGAGAGAAAAUUACAACCAAUAAACUUCAUAGCUCCAAAAAUUCCAAAUCCAAAAUACACAACCAGUAAUCCAGUAUAAUCUUCGCAAUUACAAACAUUCAAAAUCCAAAUUUAAAAAUCCAAAUCAAACACUUAAAAUUCCAAAUCCGAAAAUCAAUCACAAAUUUGAGAUGAAAGAAUUAUAAGAAAAAAAGAAAGAAGGAGAUGAUCUUAUUAUUUCUUUCUUUUCUCUACUUGGCGUGGGGACAGUAGGUUAGAGAAAAGAAGAAAAGCUAGAUAGAUGCUACUGUUGGACUAAAUAAUAUGAAUAAAAAUCAAUAUUACCAUUGCAAUCAGCUCAUAUUCGACCAUUCUUGUUUUUGCACCUUAAUCAUUACUUGUCCUACAAUUUGUAUGUCUCUUUCAGUUGUCAGUUUUCUUCACCGC